CAGCCAUAUGGCGCGGGUGAGAGCUUGGGGUACACCGCGGACUUCCGCCUCAACCCGAUGUGCUUGCGGGAUAAGGAUCUCUGGCUUAUGCGGUGCCCACUGAUAUGCAACUGGGCGGUUGAGUUUCAUUUGCCGCAUCGCGUGUAUCGUCAGUUUGGUCUUUUCCAGCCUCACCCGCCGGAUUGGGUGGACACGGAUAAAGCACUUCAUAGGUUGGAUAGGAGAAGGCAACGGAAGAUAAAGGACUGGGCCAAGCAUCAUUCUGCGUAUGUUACCCGCUUCCAGCUUUGUGUGGAGCAAGCUCGUAGCACUGCACGCGCCCCGCUUCGUGAGCACAACUCACUUGCUUUUGAUAACUACGUACGAUGGUUUAUUGGAACUACUCGAGUUGAGAUAUGCCCGCCGGCAUAUAAUGAGGAUAUUCUUGAAGAACCCGUAAACUUUGAGGAUCUAGCAAAGGGGAAGUACAACAGAGAUGUCAGGCUAGGGCAAGGAGUCCCUGCUGUUCCGGUGAUUAACUAUGUGCGCACCGAGAUCAAGAAAGCAGCUGAUGAGAGCCAGUCUAUUCUGGAGAAGACACCGGUUGGAACUGGCAAUGAUGAUGGUUCACUACGAGCAUUCCUCAAGCGUCAGGCCAAGAAGUUAAGGCGGUUAUCGAACCUUCUCGGUUGCCGUGAUCCUGAAUAUGAUGAACCAUCUGCCUCUAGGUCUGGUACACCAUCAGACCCCGCACCUCACCAUGAGGGGGACGAUGUGAGUUCCUCAUAUGCUUAUGUGGAUGAUGAGGGU
rnacentral:rRNA from 1 species